rnacentral:rRNA from 1 species
UACGAAGGGGGCAAGCGUUGUUCGGAAUUACUGGGCGUAAAGGGCGCGCAGGCGGCCGAUCAAGUCAGAUGUGAAAGCCCCGGGCUCAACCUGGGAAUAGCAUUUGGGACUGUUUGGCUAGAGAUCGGGAGAGGAGAGUGGAAUUCCCAGUGUAGAGGUGAAAUUCGUAGAUAUUGGGGAGAACACCGGUGGCGAAGGCGGCUACCUGGACAAUUGCUGACGCUCAGGCACGAAAGCGUGGGGAGCAAACAGG